CUUCUAGUGGUCCAGUGGUUAAGAUUCUGCACUUACAAUGUAGUGGGGCUCAGGUUCGAUUCCUGGUUAGGGAA
rnacentral:tRNA from 1 species